rnacentral:rRNA from 1 species
UACAGAGGGGGCAAGCGUUGUUCGGAAUUACUGGGCGUAAAGGGUGUGUAGGUGGCGCCGUAAGUCGGGUGUGAAAUUUCGGAGCUUAACUCCGAAACUGCAUUCGAUACUGCGGUGCUUGAGGACUGGAGAGGAGACUGGAAUUCAUGGUGUAGCAGUGAAAUGCGUAGAGAUCAUGAGGAAGACCAGUGGCGAAGGCGGGUCUCUGGACAGUUCCUGACACUGAGACACGAAGGCCAGGGGAGCAAACGGG